GAUGAAGAACGUAGCGAAAUGCGAUAAGUAAUGUGAAUUGCAGAAUUCAGUGAAUCAUCGAAUCUUUGAACGCACCUUGCGCCCUUUGGCCAUUCCGAAGGGCAUGCCUGUUUGAGUAUCAUGAACACCUCAACUCUUUAUGGUUUUCCAUGAUGAGCUUGGACUCUGGGGGUUUUGCUGGCUCACAGUCGGCUCCUCUAAAAUGAAUCAGCUUACCAGUGUUUGGUGGGUAUCAUGGGUGUGAUAACUAUCUACGCUUGUGGUUUUUCCACCAGGUAACCUUCAGCAGUGGAGGUUCGCUGGAGCUCAUAGAUGUCUCUCCUCAGUGAGGACAGCCCUUUGAAUGUUUGAUCUCAAAUCAGGUAGGACUACCCGCUGAACUUAAGCAUAUCAAUGCGGAGGA
rnacentral:misc_RNA from 1 species